GGUUAAGCGACUAAGCGUACACGGUGGAUGCCCUGGCAGUCAGAGGCGAUGAAGGACGUGCUAAUCUGCGAAAAGCGUCGGUAAGGUGAUAUGAACCGUUACAGCCGGCGAUGUCCGAAUGGGGAAACCCAGUGCAAUUCGUUGCACUAUCGUUAACUGAAUACAUAGGUUAACGAGGCGAACCGGGGGAACUGAAACAUCUAAGUACCCCGAGGAAAAGAAAUCAACCGAGAUUCCCCCAGUAGCGGCGAGCGAACGGGGAGCAGCCCAGAGUCUGAAUCAGCUUGUGUGUUAGUGGAACGGUCUGGAAAGUCCGACGGUACAGGGUGAUAGUCCCGUACACCAAAAUGCACAGGUUGUGAACUCGAAGAGUAGGGCGGGACACGUGGUAUCCUGUCUGAAUAUGGGGGGACCAUCCUCCAAGGCUAAAUACUCCUGACUGACCGAUAGUGAACCAGUACCGUGAGGGAAAGGCGAAAAGAACCCCGGCGAGGGGAGUGAAAAAGAACCUGAAACCGUGUACGUACAAGCAGUGGGAGCACCUUCGGGUGUGACUGCGUACCUUUUGUAUAAUGGGUCAGCGACUUAUAUUCUGUAGCAAGGUUAACCGUAUAGGGGAGCCGCAGGGAAACCGAGUCUUAACUGGGCGUUAAGUUGCAGGGUAUAGACCCGAAACCCGGUGAUCUAGCCAUGGGCAGGUUGAAGGUUGGGUAACACUAACUGGAGGACCGAACCGACUAAUGUUGAAAAAUUAGCGGAUGACUUGUGGCUGGGGGUGAAAGGCCAAUCAAACCGGGAGAUAGCUGGUUCUCCCCGAAAGCUAUUUAGGUAGCGCCUCGUGAACUCAUCUUCGGGGGUAGAGCACUGUUUCGGCUAGGGGGUCAUCCCGACUUACCAACCCGAUGCAAACUACGAAUACCGAAGAAUGUUAUCACGGGAGACACACGGCGGGUGCUAACGUCCGUCGUGAAGAGGGAAACAACCCAGACCGCCAGCUAAGGUCCCAAAGUCAUGGUUAAGUGGGAAACGAUGUGGGAAGGCACAGACAGCCAGGAUGUUGGCUUAGAAGCAGCCAUCAUUUAAAGAAAGCGUAAUAGCUCACUGGUCGAGUCGGCCUGCGCGGAAGAUGUAACGGGGCUAAACCAUGCACCGAAGCUGCGGCAGCGACACUAUGUGUUGUUGGGUAGGGGAGCGUUCUGUAAGCCUGCGAAGGUGACCUGUGAGGGUUGCUGGAGGUAUCAGAAGUGCGAAUGCUGACAUAAGUAACGAUAAAGCGGGUGAAAAGCCCGCUCGCCGGAAGACCAAGGGUUCCUGUCCAACGUUAAUCGGGGCAGGGUGAGUCGACCCCUAAGGCGAGGCCGAAAGGCGUAGUCGAUGGGAAACAGGUUAAUAUUCCUGUACUUGGUGUUACUGCGAAGGGGGGACGGAGAAGGCUAUGUUAGCCGGGCGACGGUUGUCCCGGUUUAAGCAUGUAGGCUGGUUAUCCAGGCAAAUCCGGAUAAUCAAGGCUGAGGUGUGAUGACGAGGCACUACGGUGCUGAAGUAACAAAUGCCCUGCUUCCAGGAAAAGCCUCUAAGCAUCAGGUAACAUCAAAUCGUACCCCAAACCGACACAGGUGGUCAGGUAGAGAAUACCAAGGCGCUUGAGAGAACUCGGGUGAAGGAACUAGGCAAAAUGGUGCCGUAACUUCGGGAGAAGGCACGCUGGUGUGUAGGUGAAGUCCCUGCGGAUGGAGCUGAGACCAGUCGAAGAUACCAGCUGGCUGCAACUGUUUAUUAAAAACACAGCACUGUGCAAACACGAAAGUGGACGUAUACGGUGUGACGCCUGCCCGGUGCCGGAAGGUUAAUUGAUGGGGUUAUCCGUAAGGAGAAGCUCUUGAUCGAAGCCCCGGUAAACGGCGGCCGUAACUAUAACGGUCCUAAGGUAGCGAAAUUCCUUGUCGGGUAAGUUCCGACCUGCACGAAUGGCGUAAUGAUGGCCAGGCUGUCUCCACCCGAGACUCAGUGAAAUUGAACUCGCUGUGAAGAUGCAGUGUACCCGCGGCAAGACGGAAAGACCCCGUGAACCUUUACUAUAGCUUGACACUGAACAUUGAGCCUUGAUGUGUAGGAUAGGUGGGAGGCUUUGAAGCGUGGACGCCAGUCUGCGUGGAGCCAACCUUGAAAUACCACCCUUUAAUGUUUGAUGUUCUAACGUUGGCCCCUUACCGGGGUUGCGGACAGUGUCUGGUGGGUAGUUUGACUGGGGCGGUCUCCUCCCAAAGCGUAACGGAGGAGCACGAAGGUUAGCUAAUCCUGGUCGGACAUCAGGAGGUUAGUGCAAUGGCAUAAGCUAGCUUGACUGCGAGCGUGACGGCGCGAGCAGGUGCGAAAGCAGGUCAUAGUGAUCCGGUGGUUCUGAAUGGAAGGGCCAUCGCUCAACGGAUAAAAGGUACUCCGGGGAUAACAGGCUGAUACCGCCCAAGAGUUCAUAUCGACGGCGGUGUUUGGCACCUCGAUGUCGGCUCAUCACAUCCUGGGGCUGAAGUAGGUCCCAAGGGUAUGGCUGUUCGCCAUUUAAAGUGGUACGCGAGCUGGGUUUAGAACGUCGUGAGACAGUUCGGUCCCUAUCUGCCGUGGGCGCUGGAGAAUUGAGGGGGGCUGCUCCUAGUACGAGAGGACCGGAGUGGACGCAUCACUGGUGUUCGGGUUGUCAUGCCAAUGGCACUGCCCGGUAGCUAAAUGCGGAAGAGAUAAGUGCUGAAAGCAUCUAAGCACGAAACUUGCCCCGAGAUGAGUUCUCCCUGAGACUUUAAGUCUCCUGAAGGAACGUUGAAGACGACGACGUUGAUAGGCCGGGUGUGUAAGCGCAGCGAUGCGUUGAGCUAACCGGUACUAAUGAACCGUGAGGCUUAACCUU
rnacentral:rRNA from 1 species